UACGUAGGUGGCAAGCGUUGUCCGGAUCUACUGGGCGUAAAUUUUGCGUAGGCGGAUACUUAAGUGGGAUGUGAAAUACCUGGGCUUAACUUGGGUGCUGCAUUCCAAACUGGGUGUCUAGAGUGUUGGAGAGGAAAGUGGAAUUCCUAGUGUAGCGGUGAAAUGCGUAGAGAUUAGGAAGAACACCAGUGGCGAAGGCGACUUUCUGGACAAUAACUGACGCUGAGGCUCGAAAGCGUGGGGAGCAAACAGGAUUAGAUACCCUGGUAGUCCACGCCGUAAACGAUGGGUACUAGGUGUAGGAGGUAUCGACUCCUCCUGUGCCGCCGUUAACACAAUAAGUACCCCGCCUGGGGAGUACGGUCGCAAGAUUAAA
rnacentral:rRNA from 1 species